UGCAAGUCCGAGCGGAAACGAGUUAACUGAACCUUCGGGGGACGUUAACGGCGUCGAGCGGCGGACGGGUGAGUAAUGCCUGGGAAAUUGCCCUGAUGUGGGGGAUAACCAUUGGAAACGAUGGCUAAUACCGCAUAAUAGCUUCGGCUCAAAGAGGGGGACCUUCGGGCCUCUCGCGUCAGGAUAUGCCCAGGUGGGAUUAGCUAGUUGGUGAGGUAAAGGCUCACCAAGGCGACGAUCCCUAGCUGGUCUGAGAGGAUGAUCAGCCACACUGGAACUGAGACACGGUCCAGACUCCUACGGGAGGCAGCAGUGGGGAAUAUUGCACAAUGGGCGCAAGCCUGAUGCAGCCAUGCCGCGUGUAUGAAGAAGGCCUUCGGGUUGUAAAGUACUUUCAGUCGUGAGGA
rnacentral:rRNA from 1 species